ensembl:lncRNA
CUUCCCAAAGCAGAACGAGAAGUUUUUCUCUUGUUAAACCAAUUCACGUUGCUCUAGAAAUUGCAAGUCACUGAAUUUCUGUAUAAGCAUUGUCAUGUAAGCAAUUAAAAGUUGCUGUUUCUUCCUGUUGACCUAAUCAGUUAUGUAUUGCUUUUGUGUCUGAAAGACUUUUAGAGCAAUUUAGUACUUAGAGAAUGAAAUACUUUUAUAAAAUGAUAUCAUCUGAAUAGUGGCAUCAAAACAAAGCAAUGACACAGCAUCCGUUCGCCUAAGGAUUCAGCGGAGGAGGGACCAUGAGCGGUGGGAAGCUAUGGCAGCCUGACAGUUUGAAUUGUACUGAAUAAUCCCAGUUCCCUCAGUCCCGCAAAAGACUUCUGCUCCAUACUCCUCACCAGCUUCGCUGCCCUUCACUGGAUAUGCUCCAAGGCUUCAGCAUCCUUCUUGAAAUGAGGAGACCAAAACUGAACACAGCAUUCAAGCAUCUUUCCAUGAUGAUAAAUUACUUGCUGCUGCUACUGUGUUAUUGGUGUCCUGGAACUACUUCAAGAAAUGCUGAGGACAGAUGAUACAUGAUGCAUUUCAAAUCAGCACAUAUACCCACUAAAAGGAAAGAGAUGCAAACUCCCACGGCUGAAAAGACAGAAGAAGUAUGGGAUCUCUAGAAGAAAUUAUAACAGUCUGGAAGAAAACAUAGGUCCAGAAAACAGAAAAUACAACAACAAUUUUAACGCAUGUUCAGGAUGCUGGAGGACUGAAAUGAAACAACAGCUAAAAUCAGAAGAUUGAAACACAUGCAAAACAAACAAACAAAUAUACAAAACAACACAAUUACAGGUUUUCUUUCUAUUUCUAAGUAAGGAGUCAUUAUUGCAAGGAACAUCAUCAGCCACACUGAUGAGUACUUCUGGGCAGUAACAACCACAACGUAAGUGUACCUGUGACUGUCUUUUUCCUUGACUGCUGGCAGGAGCCACAUUUUUAACCACACCAAACUCAGUUAUACUGAACUUCUUUAAGGUAUAAAGGCUGCUUGAAGAAGUCCAUUUCAGCAUUAAAGAAGCUUGUUUUUUUUUUUUUUUUAG